rnacentral:rRNA from 1 species
GAUUAUGGCUCAGAACGAACGCUGGCGGCAUGCCUAACACAUGCAAGUCGAACGAAGUCUUCGGACUUAGUGGCGCACGGGUGAGUAACAUGUGGGAAUCUACCUAAAGGUUCGGAACAACUUCGGGAAACUGAAGCUAAUACCGGAUGUGUCCGUAAGGAGAAAGAUUUAUCGCCUUUAGAUGAGCCCGCACUGGAUUAGUUUGUUGGUGAGGUAAGAGCUCCACCAAGACUACGAUCUAUAGCUGAUUUGAGAGGAUGAUCAGCCACACUGGGACUGAGACACGGCCCAGACUCCUACGGGAGGCAGCAGUGGGGAAUAUUGGACAAUGGGGGAAACCCUGAUCCAGCAAUGCCGCGUGAGUGAAGAAGGCCUUCGGGUUGUAAAACUCUUUCAUCAAUGAUGAUAAUGACAUUAGUUGAAAAAGAAGCUCCGGCUAACUCCGUGCCAGCAGCCGCGGUAAUACGGAGGGGGCUAGCGUUGUUCGGAAUCACUGGGCGUAAAGCGUAUGUAGGCGGAUCAAAAAGUUAGAUGUGAAAUCCCUGGGCUCAACCCAGGAACUGCAUUUAAAACUAGUGAUCUAGAAUUUGGUAGAGGUUAGUAGAAUUUCCAGUGUAGAGGUGAAAUUCGUAGAUAUUGGAAAGAAUACCGGUGGCGAAGGCGACUAACUGGGCCAUUUUUGACGCUGAGAUACGAAAGCGUGGGUAGCAAACAGGAUUAGAUACCCUGGUAGUCCACGCAGUAAACGAUGAGUGCUAGUCGCUGGGUCAAUGGAUUCGGUGUCGAAGCUAACGCAUUAAGCACUCCGCCUGGGAAGUACGGUCGCAAGAUUAAAACUCAAAUAAAUUGACGGGGGCCCGCACAAGCGGUGGAACAUGUGGUUUAAUUCGAUGCAACGCGAAGAACCUUACCUGGUCUUGACAUCCUCGGACCGCUUCAGAGAUGAAGUUUCCUCUUCGGAGGCCGAGUGACAGGUGCUGCAUGGCUGUCGUCAGAUCGUGUCGUGAGAUGUUGGGUUAAGUCCCGCAACGAGCGCAACCCCUACCCUUAAUUGCCAUCGGGUUAUGCCGGGCACUUUAGGGGGACUGCCGGUGACAAGCCGGAGGAGGGUGGGGAUGACGUCAAGUCCUCAUGGCCUUUAUGACCAGGGCUACACACGUGUUACAAUGGGAGUUACAGAGGGAAGCUAAACCGCGAGGUCAUGCCAAUCCCAGAAAAACUUUCUCAGUUCGGAUCGCAGUCUGCAACUCGACUGCGUGAAGCUGGAAUCGCUAGUAAUCGCGGAUCAGCACGCCGCGGUGAAUACGUUCCCGGGCCUUGUACACCCCGCCCGUCACACCAUGGGAGCCGACAAGGGCAGAAGUCGCCGAGCCAACCUUCGGGAAGCAGGCGCCCAAGCUGUUGUUGACGACUGGGGUGAAGUCGUAACAAGGUAGCC